rnacentral:rRNA from 1 species
GAUGAACGCUGGCGGCGUGCUUAACGCAUGCAAGUCGAACGGAAAGGCUCCUGCUUGCAGGGGUACUCGAGUGGCGAACGGGUGAGUAACACGUGGGUGAUCUGCCCUGCACUUCGGGAUAAGCCUGGGAAACUGGGUCUAAUACCGGAUAGGACGAUGGUUUGGAUGCCAUUGUGGAAAGUUUUUUCGGUGUGGGAUGAGCUCGCGGCCUAUCAGCUUGUUGGUGGGGUAAUGGCCUACCAAGGCGUCGACGGGUAGCCGACCUGAGAGGGUGUACGGCCACAUUGGGACUGAGGUACGGCCCAGACUCCUACGGGAGGCAACAGUGGGGAAUAUUGCACAAUGGGCGCAAGCCUGAUGCAGCGACGCCGCGUGGGGGAUGACGGCCUUCGGGUUGUAAACUCCUUUCGCUAGGGACGAAGCGCAAGUGACGGUACCUGGAGAAGAAGCACCGGCUAACUACGU